rnacentral:rRNA from 1 species
CGCCUGUUUAUCAAAAACAUGUCUUUAUGAAAUAUUUAUAAAGUCUGGCCUGCCCACUGAAUUUUAAAGGGCCGCGGUAUUUUGACCGUGCAAAGGUAGCAUAGUCAUUUGUCUCUUAAUUGGAGGCUUGUAUGAAUGGUCGCACAAGAAACAAACUGUCUUCAAUAAAAUUAAUUGAAUUUAACUUUUAAGUAAAAAGGCUUAAAUAAAUUAAAGUGACGAUAAGACCCUAUAAAACUUGAUAAAUAAAAUUAAAAAAGCGUAUUAGUUUAUUAAAACUUUUUUUUUCUAACUUAUUUUAUUGGGGCGAUAAAAAUAUAAAAAGUAACUGUUUUUAAAAUUUUAAUGGCUAAUAACUAAAUUAAAUAAAUGAUCCUUUAAUAAAGAUUAAAAGAUUAAGUUACUUUAGGGAUAACAGCGUAAUUUUCUUUGAGAGUUCAUAUCUACAAGAAAGAUUGUGACCUCGAUGUUGAAU